rnacentral:rRNA from 1 species
UAGUACUGCGGAGACAUUACUGAUUUGCUUAAUUGCACCACAUGUGUUUUUUAUUGAACAAAUUUCUUUGGUGGCGGGAGCAAUCCUACCGCCAGAGGUUAUAACUAAACCAAACUUUUUAUUUACAGUCAAACUUGAUUUAUUAUUACAAUAGUCAAAACUUUCAACAACGGAUCUCUUGGUUCUCGCAUCGAUGAAGAACGCAGCGAAAUGCGAUACGUAAUAUGAAUUGCAGAUAUUCGUGAAUCAUCGAAUCUUUGAACGCACAUUGCGCCCUUUGGUAUUCCAAAGGGCAUGCCUGUUUGAGCGUCAUUUCUCCCUCAAACCCCCGGGUUUGGUGUUGAGCAAUACGCUAGGUUUGUUUGAAAGAAUUUAACGUGGAAACUUAUUUUAAGCGACUUAGGUUUAUCCAAAAACGCUUAUUUUGCUAGGGGCCACCACAAUUUAUUUCAUAACUUUGACCUCAAAUCAGGUAGGACUACCCGCUGAACUUAAGCAUAUCAUAAGGGGGGGAGGAA